UGGUCCAGUGGUUAGGACUCGGCACUUUCAGUGCUGUGGGUCAGGGUUCAAUCCCUG
rnacentral:tRNA from 1 species